GGGCGAUUAGCUCAGUUGGUUCAGAGCACUUGGUUUACACCCAAGGGGUCACAGGUUCGACUCCUGUAUCGCCCA
rnacentral:tRNA from 2 species